rnacentral:rRNA from 1 species
AGGAUAAACGCUGGCGGCGUGCCUAACACAUGCAAGUCGAACGUCUCUUCUUUCGGGAAGAGGAGUGGCGGACGGGUGAGGAACACGUGGGAACCUGCCCUUUAGUGAGGAAUACCGGCGAGAAAUCGCCGACAAGACCGCAUAGCCCUCUUUGAUGAGAGUCAAAGAAGGAAAGCUUCGCAAGAGGCGCUAGAGGAGGGGCCUGCGUCCGAUUAGCUAGUUGGUGGGGUAAGAGCCUACCAAGGCGUCGAUCGGUAGCUGGUCUGAGAGGACGAUCAGCCACACUGGGAUUGAGAACGGCCCAGACUCCUACGGGGGCAGCAGUGAGGAAUUUUCGGCAAUGGGGGAAACCCUGACCGAGCAACGCCGCGUGCAGGAUGACGGCCUUCGGGUUGUAACUGCUUUUCUGUGAGACGAGAACGGACGGUAUCACAGGAUCAGCCCCGGCUAACCUACGUGCCAGCACGCCGC